UCUGUUUCUUUCUUCCUUCUUCCCUGUUUCUCUUCUCCUGGCCAAAACCUACAAAACUUCACGCCGUCGCCUCCUCCUUUUAUACCAACGCCACCGCGCGCCACCCACGGUCUCCCUCUUCUCCAUCCUCGUACGACCUUUGCUACCAGUCCACGGCUGCCUACUGAUCGCGCCACUCCCUUGCCGCACGACUCACACAGCCACUGCAACGAGUCCAAGCCGACGCCGCCUUCUUUUUCCUCUCUCCUUGCAGCUGACUGCCGUUGCUGCUCGCACCUCGCGACUCUUUCUAUCUCCCUCGCGUGCCAACCGCCAACCGCCACAGCUGCAGCUCUCUCUUCUCCGCUUGUCGACAGCCACCGCAGUAACGUGACCACCGGCAGCCACGCCACCCGUCAGUUCUCCAUUCGAACACCGGUGGAGUGGUACUAGUGCGAGUAUUUGUUACCUCUAUUUGGUUAGAGAUCUGAUUGACUGCCAAGAGCUUGUGAUUGCGUUGCUAUUACUAAAUUCCUCAACUACUAUUGCUGGAAUUGCCGAUUUUGAGUUGAGAUAUUCACUGUCCAAUUGGAGACUUUGUUGAGAUUUGGGUGGACAGAGUUUUGCAUUUGCUGGUUGAAUUGAGUUGAGAUGUUUCAGAACUUGGCCGCGUACUUCUAUCACAUCGGUUUCACUCCACCGUUCCCUCCUAUCCCUUAGCCAUUUGACAGGGAAGUUUCGUUGUCCUCUUCACUUUACUUGCUUUCUACUCUCCAUUGGGGAUAAUGUCGGAUUUAGGUGUGGAGGGGAUUGGACAGCUGUGAUGCUAGUAUUUCAAGUUUUUAGUUUUUAAAUGUUUUUUCUUUAUUUUUAGUUUGUUAUUUGUCUAUCUUUCGUUUAUUUUCUUUCUUUUAGUGAUCAGCUCUAAUGUGAAUACCAAGGUUUGAUGUUGGAUUAUUGACUCUAAUUCUGCUAUUGCCAAGUUUUAAUAAUAAAAGUGUAUCUAACUAAUGUGGUUGAAUCGAAGGACAUCUCUUUGGUGAAUAUCGAUGAUUGUUGGGCUCUUCUAAUUUUUGGUUAACUUUUUUAGGCAUUGAGAAUGAUUGUUGGCAUUUUCAUGUGAAUUGGUCCAGUUAUUAACUUUAGUUCUCCAUGUUUGAAAAAUGAGGCUAGCUGCUACUAUUUUCUUUGUGAUAUUUUGAGUUAUUGUGUUAUCUGGUUGUACAUAAGAGAUGACUGUACUCCGCUAGUUGUUACUACUGAAUAACCAGGGAUUUUCACCAAAAGUGUCGAUUCUCGCGUCAAAAAGUAGUAAUUUCUAUGAGUACGUAGUCGUAUAGUGAUAUGAACUGAGUAACCAGGCUCCUUCAUCUGGCAAAUGUUGGAGUUCGCGUCAAAAGACUCCAAUGGCUAGAAACUAAAUCUUUUGUGCUAUUGAAGAAAAAAAAGAAAAUGUGAAAAAAAAGUGAAAGUUGUGUUAGUGUGUGAUAUAACUCAGCUCGUCAAAUUAUGGAUUUAAUGUUGCGAUUUUGGUUAAUGGUUGGACCAUUUGAUGAUAAAUGCUGUGCGCUAUUCCUUUUUCUUAGAUUAGUUAACCUAGAAUUGAAGGAAUUUGUGGUUUAGAAGCUAACCGGAGUGAUGUUUCUUGGAUUUUGAUCACUGAUACUUGGUCUAUGUUUUUCUUGGUAUCUUGGCAAUAUAGUAGAUAGAGCAAUAGCCAUUGUCAAAUAUUGGUGUUUGUUUGCUGUUCUUAUGCUUGAGAACAAGCAUGGUUUAGGUGUGGGGGGAAUUAAUAGGAUGCAAUUUUAUCAUUUAUUUUAUUAUUAAUUUUUCCUAUUACCUGACCCGAUGUAGAUUAAUUGUUAGAUUCUACUCACUUUUAAUAUUUUGCAUUUAUUUUAGGGAGUAGAAUGAAAAUAUGAUAACAAGUGCCAAUUUGACAUAAAAGGAGUCCAAGGGGCAAUUUUGGAAAAGGAAAAAAUUUUUGCCCUUUCUUUUGGCAACGGCAGAACUGAGGACGAGGUGUGUUCCUUUCCCUUGGGAGUCACCGCAAGGAAGAAAAAUAGACUUAGACAGUAGCAUUAGAUAGGAAAUAGAGGAAACAAUGGCGGAUGACUUUUUAGCUUAGCUUUUUUUGACUUUUCCUUGUGGGCUCAAGUAGCUUUUCCUUCUCCGUAUGUCAAGACAAGUAUUAUUCAAUUAGUCAAUUAGUCAUUCUCGGAAAACUGGCUAUUCUUCCUUUUGUUCGAACGAAGCGAACUCCCUCGAUCAAGGAUAAUGGCUGCAGCUUUCUCUACACUUUUGCGUGGGUUUUUCGCAUCAAAUAUGAACUAAUUUCCUUACUCUUCAAGGAA